rnacentral:lncRNA from 1 species
CUUGCAUAGCCCUGAUAAUCAUUCUUGGAAGGUUGAGUGGGAUGCAUUGAACUAUAUAAUAUAUAAUUGCUAAGUUCCUCUCUGUUAUAUUAUUAAAUCCUUCUGCUCUAGGUUGUAUAAUCUAGCAAACAAUAAUGUGAAAGAGUCUCAUUUUAACAUUUAAGUGUCACCCAUAAAUUUUACAGAAUUAGCUAUGGUCCUCUACCCCAAGAAUAGUUUCUAUUUUUAUGCUU